ACACCCUAGACUCCUAAUUAUCUUAAUUAGUUUAAAUGGUAUUUUAUGAGCGUAUUAGUGUUGGAGUUAAUCUAAUUAAGUUGGAGUAUUUUGGUAUUGUAAUUAAUUACAUAUGUUAAUAAGGGUGGAUUUAUAUGACAAGGCAGGGCUUAAUAGGUGGGGAUGUGGGAAAAUCUUUAGUUGUUAGUAUGGACUCAAUCACAUAGGAUAAUUUUUCCCAAGAGUUUCUACGUUAUUCGUGUUCCCACCGCUUCCUUGUAUAUUGACGCACAGAGAGCGAGAAAGAGAGAGAAACAGAGAGAACUUGGGAAAGGGAAGAACGCAGGAAAUUGGAGGAAGAAGAAAGAAUCAAGGAAAAUUAGGGAAACAUCAAGCUUCGAUUGUUUUGGAAGUCUACACGUGGUAAAUUUAUGUUUCUUUAUUCUUGAUUCCAUGUUUUUGUUAUUUGAUCUCAAAAUUUAAUAGUUAGGAAUCAUAGAAACUCUUAUUUUGAGGUUUAGAGAUAGUUCUUGAUACUCUCUCUCAUGAUAUUCUUCAAAACCUAGGUUUGAUUUCUCCUGAAUGUUCCAAAAUCCAAUUGAACCGGUAAGUUUUGACUGGUAUUCUUGCCUUGGAGAUUAAUUUGUGAAAUUUAAGGUGGAUUUUAAGAGCUUUAGGUGAGUUCUUCGCUGGAAACGAGUUCUAUGGUUGAUUUUGCUGGAAAAUCGCUGAACCAAGACAGAUUACAGUCCCAACUUUGGAUGAGCAUAUCUUUGUCGUUCGGACUCCAAUUUAGGCAAAUUUUAUAUCGAAAUUGAUGCCCCGAAAGUCUACUUUUCAAUGGUGGUAGUCCCAACAUCUAAUUCUGAUCCUAUAAGAUUUUAUAGCCAAAAUACUACAGGCUGGUUAUAGGACUCCAUACCAUUUUGGGGUUUAGUUAGGUUUUGACUUCUCCACUCGAUUGGACUUUAAGUUUGAGCUACUACUGGGGAUGAUCUAAUGAGAGUAUUUAGAAAUUUAAAUGUAUUUCAUUGAAUCUUAAUUAUAAUUGUCUUGUAUGUUUAUGUAGGGGACUUGUGUGAAAGCUCGGAUCGAGGAAUUGACGAGUUGGAUGGCGUGACACUUGUUUUGUGGAGUCAGGUCUUAUGGUUAUUUUAUAGAUAGGAGAUGUGUUUAGAUUACCUGUUAAAUUCUGUAACCAUUGUAAGUAGCUUGCUAAACCUCAUAAUUAAGCACAGCUCUGAGAUGUGUUUUGGGUAUAUCCUUAGCCUUUGUAAGUAUAAGUUGUCGUUUUAUUAGAUUGCACAGAAUAUGCUUCCGCUAGUUACGCACUCUUGUUCCUUCUGAUUAUAUAAUUUUGAGAAGUUGAAUCUAUGAUUUGGCCUUGGUGAGGGUUUCACCGGCGCUUUGUUA